UGGGAUCCUAAUACCCACCAAAGAAUGGAACAGUCUGUUGUUAGCUUUCAUCAUCAAAAGAUGAUGUAACAUGUCUAAAACAUUCCACCAUUCCUUCACCAGUGAGUUGACUUUGGGUUAUUUGCUUAAAGAAACAGUUGGCCAAUACUGAAACACGAUUUGGAUUUCUACUACAUUUACUAGAGUUUGAUUCCCAUGGACAGUUACCAGAUCCCACGGGGAACAUCUAAUGCCUCAAAGUACUACCCUGUCUUCUUGAAACUCACCACACUGCUUACAGUGUAAUUUUACAUGGAGACGCACAUGCGAGUCUUAAGCAGGGUUACCUUGAAGAAUCAUUUGGCUCCAACCACUCUGCAGAGCUGGCAUUUCCAACCCGUCAGCUCAGCAUGACCUGGAUGUACACCAUCUGGCCGUGCGUUUCUAGCAGGCUGGUUGCUUGUGUUGUUUUCCACCACAUGGAAACUCAGUGGCCCAUUGCAUCCUGUCGCUCCCAAGAAUUGAUCAGAAAACAAAACCAUCUCAGGGUAUUCUGGAGCCACUGAGUGUUUGAUCCUCUAGAACGUGCAUUCUCCACAGUCCUUCUGCACUGCUUCUCCACCUCCCCUUCCUAUCCGGAAGUCAUGUCUUACUUAAUGAUCCACUUAUGAAUGAGGGCUCAUUUUCACGAGAAUAAAUAUUCCAUGCAUAUUUUCACACACUAUCAAUUUGAAAUAAAGAUUGAGUGGCAUUUUCUUUUUCUGUGGAAUGUAUUAAAUGCUUGCCAUAUUCUGUACAUUGGGGGAAAGUCCCUAGACUCCUAGCAUCUAUUCCUAAACAGAUACGGUCUUUCUGUCCAGAACAUAUUUUAUUUGACUCCAGUAUACCUGCAGUUUAUUAAAUGGAAUGAAAUUGCUUUAAAUUAUAGUUCAUUCAUCAAAUUAUGUUAUUAACUGGUUAGUAUUUUAAAUAUUCCUACUGAACUGAACUCAAGUAAGAGACAAAACUGCACCAAAAUAGAGAAAAAAAUAAAAGCAACAUGUGAAGUAAGAAAUGCAAACAUUACUUACAGAAUUUUAAGAGAGCAGAGUGUAGCUGCCUUGAUUUGAUCUAUUAGGGUUUCCUGGCUCCUGUCUACACUAGUAGCGGUGCUGUCCUUCUAAAAGACGGGGCAAGGAGUGCCAUGUGGGUCUUGGAGACCCUGUUAUUUUCAAGUUAGCUUUUACCGUAGUACACAGAAGCAACACGAUGGAGGGAGCUCAAGGGUGGGGUGGCAACGGGAAGUGAAGUGGCACGGGGCAUGGAACGAGGAACUGGGGAGAGAACAGAUGGGAAGGAGGCAGCCAGAGUUAUCGUGUUAUACAUAAAGGCCUGGAGGAGCUUCUGUGAGACAAGAGCAUUAAUUAAGGCGGAAAUGAUGAAGAAAUAAAAAACCAAACCUACCUGGGAUUUUCUAGUUAGAGACUAUAAGGGCAUAACCUGGCAUUGGAUGAAUCUAUGUAUAUUGCAAAGAAUAUAUACAAUGCAAAGAAGAGAAGACAGUAGACUGUAUGUUGUUUAUUUAUUCCUAUAGUCUGACUACAUGUGCCAUAUACAUACAUAUAUGAUAUACACAUAUGUGACACAUACAUAUAUGUGACAUAUACAUAUAUAGGACAGAUGUUUGUGUGACAUACACAUAUAUAAAAUGAAUUAUAUAUCUGGAAGACACAGAGAUUUCUCCCCUGCAGAAAAGUCAAUAAAACCUUCAGGAAAGUGGUAUGAACUCUGGCCCCUCCUGUAUUUUUUCCUCCCAUCAUAUGAAGCCUCGCAGUGCAGGAAUGGCUGUUUUGUUUUUAGUUCCCAAAAGCUGCAGUGAUCUUCUUACUGGAAACCAGCCCCUACAGUGUCUGUGUGGGAGGGGGGAGCUUCCUGAAGGAGUUGGGCAACACAUGGGAAGGAGAGACACACCAUCACCCAGAGGGACUGUAACACAAGCUCUUUGAGGAAGUCCCCCCUUCCACAGCUCUCUGACUCCUUAGUAAUGCAUGUCUUCUCCUGUCAUGGGAUCAAGAGCGAAGGCCAAAAGUAACUCAGCAGCACGAGGUAAGCGACUCACUGCAGAGCCGGACAGGAGAGCUCCGCAGAGAUCUGCCGUGCGUUUGUUUUCACGGUCUUCCCCCCAGGCACGUCUGAACAUCUUAUAGCCAUUGCACAGUCACAAAGUGGGCGGUCAUCCGUGACUGGGGGAUCCAUGACCGGUUACAUGUUUAAAUGCUACACUGCAAAGUCAUCAAUGUGUUUAAAAGUAUUUCAUGCUCCCUCCCGCUGAGACUAUGUCCAUCAAUUCCCCGGCUGGUGAAUUGUCCUCCCUGACCCGUGGAGGUCAGCCUCACCAAGCCAACAUGGACCUAUCACGCAAAUGACUGAAAGUGUCACCUAAGUGACCUGCUUGGAGCCUGGCCAUUUUCAAGAAGCCUUUACCACAGGCAUUUCUGAGGAGAUGGACUAACUGCACCACGAAGCUCCGUGGUUUGCAGGCUGUGAUUUAAAACCCCCCCGCUCAUGUGCGCAGAUGUUUACCUCAUAGCACUCCGUCUCAUUACUGGAAAUCUAUGGAACGAGCCAUAAGUCAGCACUAGCAAGAGAUACAUUUGGCCAUAACAAAAGAAUGAUAAUCCUUUCAGUCAGAAAUAAUAUGCUAUGAUAAGCAGCAUGGGAAGACAAGACUUGUCAAGGAAAAUCGUAACAAUAUUUAAGUACAAGGUGGACAGUUACCUAGAGAAGGUAUUGACAUAUGUUCCCCACAGGCAAGGGUACAGUCAAACCACACUGCAUAAAAACUCAGUAAGGGGACAGCAGCCAACUUUCCACGGACUCCCUUCUCUGGAGCAAAUGAUGAUAGGAAGUGCCCAACCUGCCAGUGUUCCGCCUCCAUGUCCACAGCUACUGGGAGGGUCCUACUCUGACACCACGAACUACUCAAAAAGUGGAGACGUUUAUAGAGUUCAUAUAAACUGUUAGUGCAGCAGGGAUCCUUGUUAACCUGGAAUUAAAACCACUAUUGAUCGCUUAAACAAGUAUUUAUUGAUUAACCACUAGCUACAAACUCUAAGUAAACUGUAAGUGAGGAAAUGCAGGCUGUUAAAUGGUUGUGCAUUUGCUGUCUAGAAUAUGUCCAGACAGGCCUAACCUCCAACAUACUAGUGUCUGUAUUUGCCAAAUAUAUGAUGUGUAGUUUCAGCACAUUAAUAGCAGGGAGUCAUUAUGCAGGGGAAGGGAGGAUGCAUUUAGGAGUAGAAAUGUUUGUAAAAGUGAAUUAAAUCUUCUAAUACCAUAAAAUACAUUCCAAGUUUUUACUUAUCAAGACAAUUUAUCUCACAGAUGGCUUCAGCACCGGAUGACAUCAUUAAAGGGCUACAGAAUCUAAAACCUAAAUCAAAGAUGCUCUUGACCCGAGUCAGGAUCAGAUGGGAUCUUAACUGAUAUGUGACCUAAAAUCAGACAACAACCCAGAACCUGUGUGGGACGUGUACACGGCAACAGAAAGUGAAUGCGAAAUUGCAUGAAUAAAGCCAAUUAGCUAAGAACCCCUAACCUCAGAAAUGUCUCUUGACAAAUUUCGUCAAGUUGGAGCCACACACCCUUAUGAACAGCCUUCUGCAUGCCUCACAGAACACCAACUAGGAGAUGGCAUGGAACAAGGGAACUACAGGCAUGCCUCUCUCCUUUAUCAUGACCUGCUUUUAAAGGAAAAAGGCACCUGACUAGAGGAGAUAGCCUGCUGCCUUUCAGAAAGUACUUCUCACUCUCUCAGCUUCUGCUUUGUCUUCUGGAAAACAGCCAUACAACAUUUACUGCAUGAACUUCCCACGAAGACGUGAGCGCUCACAUUGGGAAACACCUGGAAUCCAGGCUCCCAUUUAAUGCUGACAUCAGCCCGGGAACCAUUUCAACACACAGCACAAAGAUAACUCAGAGUGGGGCAGAGGCUACUAUCUACUCCCUCAAAAACAACAGUGACGGAACCAAUAAAUAUAACGAACGUAGCUCAGAACGUGGUGGCUGCCAAUCAUUUCUUCUUCAAAAAUGAAAACAGGGGUUAAAAAAAGAAAUUAUACCCUUUCUCCUCAGAUGCAUGAGUGGCCAAUUUGACAUGAAUUCUAGAGACU